GGCUGUUGCUGUCUCCGGCUCCUUCGCUAACGAUUGCAGGAGAAAUAAUGAGGAUGUAAUUAUUACAGCCCUGCGCGGAGGGCUGGGGGGCGGCGGGCGCGGGCUCCUCUGCCUGCGCGCCCAGGUGGGGCUGGGCUGGGCUGGGCUGGGCUGGGCUGGACUGGACUGGACGCCUCUCCCCGCCCGGCCCUUCCUCAGCGCGCGGCGUGUGCGGUGCCCGAGGCUUCGGAGCAGGCUGGACCUGGGAACCCGGGGAGGGGCCUGGAGGAGAGAUAGUUGGGCGAGGUGGGCGCCGGCGAGAAGGCGGAGCCCCCGGACAGCGGAGGUUCGCAGGUGGAGAGCGGGCGCGGGGGCGAGGGCGCGCGGCGGGUCUGCGAUGCGCGUCGGAAACUCGCGGCCCCCCGUCCCGGCCCUGCGCGCUUGGAGCCCGGGUCCUUCCAGCCCCUGCGCGACGCCGCCGCCGCCGCCGCCGGUGAAUGGCGAUCCCGGCCACGGCUUGGAAUUGGGAAUUCGUGACUUAUCGGCGGCGCCGGUGUUGUAUCGAUUAAAGAUAAAGCGAUCAGCAGUGAAUUUAUCCUUCGUGUGGAUGAACUCGGCCAGCCCGGGCUGUGGGGGGUUUGGGAGCUGGAAAUAUUCUCCAAAGCGCCGCCGCUUCUCCCGUCCUCCCGGACUCGAGGCUGGAGGCAGCUCCGGCGACGCGAAGGCGAGGACCCUCCGGCGAGGUCGGGCCUGGGGCGCCGCGGACAGAGACCCGGUCCCAGAGCCUGGCGGAGCCCGGCAAUCCGCUCUGUCAGGAGGAAUCUCAUCAACAGCCGGUGAAUUAACUGUGCUUGGUGAAUUAAUUGUGCUUGCAGUUGGGAAAUAACCCGGUACCUCGGCAUAGCCCGAGGGAGUCCAGGAGGCUCUCCAAGGACCCUUCCCCCAGGUCGCGAAGCUGCGCUAAACCCCGGCCCCAGCGCACUUUGGAAGGCACAUUUUGGCCUGAGGUGAAUGCACCUUACACCAUUUUCAUUUUACUUCCUUUUCUCUGAGAAAGGUAAUAGAUAACCAAGGCCAAAAAUGGCGAAAUGAUGAAAAAAUGGUAAUUCUUGGCAGGUCCAGUUGUUACUCUGGGUUUAAAAAAAUGUCAUUAAUCAGGAUUUUCCAGUAGCCAAAUUGUCUUGUGCCGGCAGCUGGGUGACUCACAGAUUUGGCUCCGAUAGUAAUUGUAGAGUGUGCGUACCAUUUCCUUCUGGAUGGUGUGGCUUUUUCAUUGCUUGGAAGAGAACACGUUAGAAUAUUUUAUCGCCUACAUCUGGCAGCUUGGGGAGCAGGCUGUAGGCAAUACUCUGUCCAAGCACAUCUGGGCGGGGAGGUCGUGGAGGGACCGAGGUGACACAGAGCCGGCCCUGUCCUCGGUUCUGUCUUGGGUCACCUGAGGCAUCUUCUCCACCGCGGCAGCUCAGGCGCGUGGGAUCUGCUCUGAGUGAUGACCUGGGACGCAUCCUGCCUCUGUGCGCCAUUCCUGCCCCUUCACUGUCACUGCUUGGUGAUCGCCCUGUUCUUGCGUAAGAAGUGGAGAGGCACAGAGUGGCUUCCUCUGUUGAUCUACCGCGUCAAAUCUGUAGAUUAUAAUUUCAGGUUAAAGGGUAAGCGUUGUAAGCAAAAUGAGUACUACGUCAAAUAAUUGAAAGGAAUGAAGUAAUUAAAAGUAAAGUUUUCUCACCAUGAAGAUGUUUUCUCAGAUAAGCAUUCUAAGUCAACUUUUCAUAGUAUUCAAUGUCUAUUUGUUAUUCUUCCAAAGAACUUUGCACUUAUGAUUGUCCAAAGUGGUACAGCUUGAGACAGAAAUAAACAUGUAUUUAUUUACCAA
rnacentral:lncRNA from 1 species